rnacentral:rRNA from 1 species
UACAGAGGUCUCAAGCGUUGUUCGGAUUCAUUGGGCGUAAAGGGUGCGUAGGCGGCGCGGUAAGUCGGGUGUGAAAUCUCGGGGCUUAACUCCGAAACUGCAUUCGAUACUGCCGUGCUUGAGGACUGGAGAGGAGACUGGAAUUUACGGUGUAGCGGUGAAAUGCGUAGAUAUCGGGAGGAACACCUGUGGCGAAAGCGGCGCACUGGACCACAACUGACGCUGAGGCGCGAAAGCUAGGGGAGCAAACAGG